GAGUUUCAUGGCGGCCCGUACCCUAAACCGACUCAGGUGGUCAGGUAGAGAAUACCGAGGCGUUCGGGUGAACUAUGGUUAAGGAACUCGGCAAAAUGCCCCCGUAACUUCGGGAGAAGGGGGGCCACACCCGGUGAUGGAGUUUUCCUCCUGAGCUGGGGGUGGCCGCAGAGACCAGCGAGAAGCGACUGUUUACUAAAAACACAGGUCCGUGCGAAGCCGUAAGGCGAUGUAUACGGACUGACGCCUGCCCGGUGCUGGAACGUUAAGGGGACCGG
rnacentral:rRNA from 1 species